rnacentral:lncRNA from 1 species
UAACUUGAGGCCAAAACGGCACAAGGGUAGAGCCAUAUAAAACUAAGGAGAAACCAUUUUAGGAUGAGGGAACAAACCCUGAAGGUGUGAACAAGCUCGGUGCAUCUAGACAUGUAAGGAAGGUUCCAGCAUGUGAAGGAGCGAGGACGGAGAAGGGUCCGGUGAGGUCUUACAGCAACAGAGGGUCCAGCCACAUGAGGCUGAGCAGCCAAGUGAUCUGCCUAGGCCAGCUCCCCUUCAUCUUCUGCCAUGAGUGGAAGCAGCCUGAGGCCCUCACCAGAAGCAGAUGUUGGCACUAUGCUUCUUAGACAGCCUGCAAAACUGUGAGCCAAAGAAUUCCCUUUUCUUUAUAAAUGACCCAGCCUCAGGUAUUCCUCUAUAGCAACGCAGAUGGACUAAGACACUCAUGCUUCCUUUCAUUAGCUAUUUCAAGCUCAAAAAUUGUGAGACUGUGCCAAGAAUUAGGGCAGGAUCUUGUCAUUGCGAACUUACAACUUUUCUAUCUAAAGCAAAAGGUCCUAAUCCCAAACCAUAAUUGGAAAGGUGCCUCUACUCCAACCUCAUUGCCCUUCAACUGCCCCUUCUCUGCCUCCCAUUCCCCUCUUACUCACCGAAAGACAAAUGAGUUUAGGCUGGGCACAGUUAGCCAUCGUUCUCAGAAAAACAAAAUCUUGCUGCUUGGUAUUCUCACUUAGAAUCCCUUCACUUAGCUUAUGGAUCACCCUACACAGAUUCCUGACAGCUCACUGGGCCAGGGAACCAGCCAGAUUUUUGAGCUACAUCUGCAGUAUCUUUUCUACUCAGGCAGCUGGCAUAAGCUGGGAAAGCGGAAAUCUGGAGAACUAAAAUAUCUUGCUGAAGAUCACAAUGCAGUAAAGCAUAGGGCAAGUUUCCAACUCGAACAUCACCCCAGAACACUUCCUUUUAAACAUAAAUUAUGUUGCUAACUUUUUUAUUGUUACUUAGCAGGCAGAUUUCAAACUGAUACAAAUGUUGAAAAUGAUACAAAAUGUUUUCCCACCUUAAAGGCAUUCUGAAACCUAGCACAUAACAUCUGUCACUGAAGUCCAUAGUUUCCAAUGCCAUGAUUGGAUAAAGACCCUAUUGAGACUCAUGUGUUUGUCUCUCACUGCUUAAAACACUCAUGUGUUUUAAGCAACAUGACAAGCACAAAAGAGAACAAGUACUGCUCCUGCUCUCCAGGAAGUUACCAUAAAAUAAAGGGGAUAAGGUGCCUUCCAAAGAAAAAACAAAUACUAGGAGAGGUCAGAGGAGAAGAGAGAUUAUUCCAGAAGGAGAGACUGAGGCAGAUUUCAGGAGGGAAGAAUAUAAGAGUCCCAAAAGAAGAAACAGGAACCCAGGUUAGAGAGCAAUGGGCAAGGGGUAGGAGGUGAGACUAAACUCACAAGGAAGUUGCUUCAAAACAAUAGUGCCCCAAAUGCCAAGCUGAUGGGUUGGACCCAUUUAGGAAAAACCCACAAAGUCCACAGGAGAGCAGACUGCACUUCCAUGAGCUUCAAGCUGUAAACAGUAACCUCAAAUAAAACUUUUCCCGGAUCGGUAAUUUCCAUCCUGAACAAUGGCCAAGUCAAGGAAGCUGAGGAUCGAGCCCCCUACCGCAUGCCACAAAGAACCUCAAGGGACCCCAUGCUCUGGGGAGCUCGCAGGAGGACCAGCACAGAGGUGUGACUGCGUUGGGGCAGGGUGGCCACAUGUACAAUGUUGUACCUUCCAAUGUUCCUCCUUAGGCUGUGCUUAUGAAGUCCCAACAUGUCUUCUGGGCUGUGUUUUCAACCAAGAGAGUUAAUAAAAAGUGGGAUGGGCACCAACUAUGCCUCCAGAGACAUCAGGCAGAAUAUGCCACAGCGUGCCAUGUCCUCCUGCAAACAGUCAGAAAGAAAAGAUCUCUAAAAGCAGAUUGGAAGAGACUAUAUAUACAGAGCGAGUGCCGGUACAGAAGUUUUGCUGCAAAUACACCCUCUAAUCCCUUGCAACCCACUGCAAGCUCGAGAGACCAGUGCCCUUGGUAAAACAUAGGAGAGAUCAUUAAUUAAAGCCUAGGCCCUUUCUUUGAUCCUGAGGGAUAAGGCUUGGGAAAAUGCACAGUGAUAAAAGUGAACAUUUUAAAAGAGCAGAGUGAGUGUGAAUUCCCAAAGAGACCAUUCAUAUCAAGACCCAAGCCAUGAGAAAAUGCUACAAUGCCCUUGAUCAAUACUUUAUAGGCAUUUUGACCUCAGAUCUAAUCCCAUGAGGCUUAGACCAAGACCUUGCUUGAUGCAGACCUCUCUGACUGCUGAAAUUGGUCAGGAGCUCAGUGAUGAAAAUUUGGAAAGUCAAUGCUGAUACCUGAAGAAAGUCCCAUCAGAGAUCUGUGACCUGAAUCUUCAUAACUUUCACAGGCCCUUUCUAAAUGCCAAGGAGGAUGUGUGUGGAGAAGAAUAUGCCACCUAUGGCAUCCCAAUAUGCCUGUGCCCGCCUGCUCUUCAACAAGGGAAUGAAACCUGGGUAUUCUCAUAGGUUUUUUAAAGCACUUGUCCACAUAUUUUAUUCCGCAAAUAACACAAUUUAAAAUUCAGCUAGAAUUUGCCAUUUUCUGUCAGGGUUGUGCAUUUCUUCCAGUCACCAUGACUUCCUGAGAUAGCCAAAACACAAAAUUUAAAUUGUGUUUAAAUUAAAUAAACACAAUUUAUGCUGAAGCUGACUUUACCCACUCUGUUCCAACAUUACUUAUCCUCAGCAUCUCUGAAUUCAAAUAUCAGCCAGGUGUGGUGGCUCAUACCUGUAAGCCCAGCACUUUGGCAAGCCAAGAUGGGAAGGUUGCUUGAGGAGUUGGAGACCAGCCUGGGCAACAUAGCAAGACCCCCAUCUCUACAAAAAAAUUAAAAAAUUAGCCAGGCAUGGUGGUAUGCACCUUUAGUCCUAGCUACUUGGGAGGCUGAGGUGAGAAGAUCACUUGAGCCCAGGAGCUUGAGGUGGCAGUGAGUCAUGAUCAUACCACUGCACUGUAGCCUGAGCAACAGAGCAAGACCCCAUCCCUUAAAAAAAAUACCUGCCCUCUGUACUUCAUAGCACCUGGGGCAUUUUGAACAGUUCUUCCUUCACCUGAGGUCAUUAUUUGAGAAUCCAAUUUUAGAGACUACAAUGCUCUCAUUACUUGGAUUGUAUCAUUUAAUCUUCCCAACAAUCCAGGAAGGGGAGUCUCUUAAUGAUUGUCCUUGAUUUCCAGUUAAAAAAUCUAGACCCAGAGGUAACCUUGUGAAGGUCACAGAGUUUCAGAGUUCUAAGAUCCCAUGCGAGAUUGCUGAACUUGAACUUGUUUCUUCUGAUCUCAUGUCAAUAAGUGACUUAGUCAACACCUGGGUAGAAAUCAUCACUAAAGUGAGAAAGCACAUGGUGAGGGGGAUGAAUCCUGUGCCCACAUGGUCCCUUUCACCUGCCCAAUCCUCAGGCCUCUCACCUGGGGUACCCCUCACACACAUGGCACUUUCCUGAACUCAUGGACAUUUCAGUUUGUAACGAUCCUCCUAAGAUUAUCUACUUUCACCUAUCCACAUUUGAACUAUACUUCUUUAGUGGAAAAAAAGAAAUAAAGCCAGUGCUGAGAAUGAUCAAACUCCAGAAAUAGUAGACUGCUGUAUAAUUUGUCUUGCGUGACACCAGAUCUUUCAAGGAACUGCAAGCUCAAGUGCACAGUUAAGCAAGAUCAAGAUCUACCUUUGUCUUUCAGAGCCUUCCCUUGGCGAGGUCAAGGAUAUCUGCUGUGAGCCUGGGCUGGCUGAACCAAAGGGCAAUGGAGGCGGCCAAGAAGCCCCAGCCAACUGCUCCCCUCCCCAACCCCCUUCUCCCUGGAGGUCCCUUCAGCUAGAAUUUGCCAUUUUCUGUCAGGGUUGUGCAUUUCUUCCAGUCACCAUGACUUCCUGAGAUAGCCAAAAGCAUUUGCUGUGAGCAGAGCCCCAUGGCUGGCUUUGCACAUCAAACAUUUCAGACAGCCAUAUAUUUCAUAGAAUACAAGGGGAAGAUAACACUGGACACACAGAACUUUCCAACAGCUUGAGAAAAUGUGGUGCCUGGUGACUGACUAAAUAUACAAUCGGACAACAGCCAGGCCAUAGCAAAAGAUGGAACUCUGAUCCACAAGGUGCAGCAACUUUCCCAGAAAACAAUACCCUUACCCACAAAAAGCAACCCCGGAAGCUGGCCUGCUCUAAAUCAGACCUGCUGGAAGCCAAAUUGCUCUCUAGUAACUAUCCAGGAAGCUAAAUAAUAACUUCUGUAACAAUUGACUCAAAAUGUUCAGGACUGGAUUAAUAACUGAUGGCUUCCCUAAUUUUUGUCCCCGAUUCCAACUUAGGACCCACCAGAGAAAGCCAAAUAUGGUCCCCUGACCAAGCACACAGGAUGUUCGCUUCUAGUGAGCCGCCUCCAGCUUCCCCGCAUUGAUAACCUCCAAUCAGGGCACACCUGAAGCCUUCGCCUUUUUCCACUAUAAAGCUCUCCCACUCGUCUGCCCACCUUUGAGUCUCUGCCAAAUUGCAAAUGAUGGUGUCUGACUCCCUUGCUGUAGCAAGCUCUGCAUAAUAGCUUGUGCUUAUUCUCUUUGGGUAGGUCUUCAUUUCUUUUCACACCAGAUAGGCAUCAUCUUUGAAAACAUCUUUACUGGGUCUCUUGUCUCCCUCCUGCAGCCACUGAUCUAAAUCACAGACUUUUUUAGAAAGAGGGAAAAUAGUAAAGAAAGAAAGCGAUUGAGUUGAUGCUCCCAGCCACUGUCUGUACCCUGAAUUUUGUUUUUCUGCCAUAUGUCAGGUGGCCUCUCCUGGACCAUCGUCACUGUUUCUCCUGCUUCCCUGCAGCUGCAGACACAGGAGCACUGUGUAGGUCUGGCCUUGAGCACCCACCCACCCAGUACAGAGCCAGCCCCUGCUGUUCUGAAUCAGUGCAGUGACCACUUAGAACACAGUGCCCAUGCCUCUGUGAUCUGAACUGCUCUUUCCAGUUCCAUACAAUGUUAAGAACCCACUUAAGAAUGUUUUAAUCAUUCAGUAGUUUUUCGUGGUAUAUAAUAAAAAAGUGAUUUAAAUACAAUCUAUUUUAUUUUAGAUUAUAUCAUUAGGGGUUAUUUUACAAAGUUACCUUUAAAUACUAUUGUAAAUAAAAUUAAUAACAAAUAAGCAAAAUUCUUACUUUUCCUUGUUUGACAAUUGACAUGGUCAAUUUAAUUUCCUUUAAAUUAAUUAUGCAAGAAAAGGAUAUUUCCUCAAGAAAAUUUAAAAUGAUAUAUAUUUCUUGGUUGGGUGCCAAAUAUUCAUUCAGAAGAAGACGGAAAUUUAAAUCCUUGUUUCUAAUUUAAGGAAAAAACUACUUUCAUUAUUGGAUGUGUGAAAUUCACCCAUUUUGUGUUUAUCUAGAAAAUCUAGUUUAUUGUCCAAAUGUUCUUAUUUUCCCCAAAAGCAUCAGUUAGGAGAGAAGAUUUCCAGCUGCCAUUAAAAUACAAUUGUGUGCAAUGAAU